AGAUGACUCAACUAAAAGAUACAUCUUAUAUGAAUUGAAGGAGAUGAAUCGACUAAAAGGUACGUCUUCUAGGGGUUAAGGGGAAUGACUUGACUAGGAGGUAUGUCUUCUAGGAGUGAAGGUUCAAUUGAAGAAGUGUAUCACCCAGCAAAUGAAAACUGAAAUCCCUAGAUGAGAAAGUGUGUCUUCGAGGGAUAUAAGAUGAUG
rnacentral:lncRNA from 1 species